UACAAUUUCUAACCUGUUUUUUUUUUUUUCUUUGUCUUAUUUUGUUGAGGAUGGAAUAACCCAAGCUCUGGUGGAAUUGUAGAGAAUCAAGCAGAAAAUAAGACAUCAAUCAAAGAAACUAAAAGCAGCAUGGGGAUCUAAGCAAAUAGUUUUUGGUGGACACCAGCAUGGACCAAAAUUGGAUUUGAGAGUUGCAAACACAGUAAAAGAAGAACUUGCAAAUAGGCACUUCAUAGACCCUUACUGCUCUCACCCGGAUUGCCCUGAGCUGGUGUUCCGGCUUGAUGUUCUUGACAGCAAUGAACAUGCUUUGCAUCUUGACAGACCAAUACUAUUUCGAAAAGGAAGUAAACUGAACUUAAUGUGUGAAGGAUUUUUGCCAUGAAGAACCGGGGUAUUUAUACAGGUUCAUAAUUCAAAUUUGCCAAU